UAUUUUUCAAAAUGUGUGUUUUUUUGUCCGUACAUUAAGUAUCUAGAAAAAUAAAAAUCGGACGAACUUCGUUUGGAAGUUAUGAAGGAAAAAUGCAUGAAGUUCGGGUUUUCCGUUUUGCGUAUUUCUUAGUUAGAAUUUAACAUUUUCAAACUUGUUUUUUUCCAAAAUGUAUUAAUGCUUAAUCCAUAGGUAUAAUAAAAAAUCACCUAUCACACUUAUUUGUAUAAUUAUUGUAAAUAAACCUUAAAAAAUAGCAUUUUCAGAAUCAAUCCAAAAUCUAGUCAAAAAUAUACAUUUUUUGUACUAUAUUGUUUGUAUUUAUUGAUAUUUUGAUAACAAAGUUUUAUUUUAUUGAAGUAAAAGUAAGUCUAUCCGGCUUAGUUUUAGAGUUAAAACAUUCAAACACACCGUGUUUCACUGUGCUCAAUCGGACAAUUUUAAUCGAAAAUAACCAUUGAUUUAUUGUGCAAAACUACGUCGGGUAGGUAACAAGGUAAAGUGAAAUAGCAUUAUAGAUGAGUAGGUUUUUCAACUAUAAAAGUAAGUAUGAUAAAUAAGUUUUUAUUAUACCAAUGGAUUAAGCAUUAAAAAACACAUUUUGUAAAAAAAUUUGAAAAACGAGUUU